CGAACGUUAGCGGCGCGCUUAACACAUGCAAGUCGAACGAGAAAGCACCUUCGGGUGUGAGUAAAGUGGCGCACGGGUGAGUAUCACGUGGGUAUCUAUCUUCCGGCGGGGGACAACAUCCCGAAAGGGGUGCUAAUACCGCAUACGUCCGCUUCGGCGGGGAAAGGUGGCUUCGGCUAUCACCGGAUGAUGAGCUCGCGCCCCAUCAGCUUGUUGGUAGGGUAAUGGCCUACCAAGGCUACGACGGGUAGCUGGUCUGAGAGGAUGAUCAGCCACACUGGAACUGAGACACGGUCCAGACUCCUACGGGAGGCAGCAGUGGGGAAUAUUGCGCAAUGGGCGAAAGCCUGACGCAGCGACGCCGCGUGGGUGAUGAAGGUUUUCGGAUCGUAAAGCCCUGUGGGAGAGGGACGAACAACCCGCGAGAAUAAUACCUCGUGGGCCUGACGGUACCUCUCCAGAAAGCACCGGCUAACUCC
rnacentral:rRNA from 1 species